GGGAAUCUACCCUGAACUGCGGAAUAGCUCCGGGAAACUGGAAUUAAUACCGCAUGUGCCCUGAGGGGCAAAGAUUUAUCGGUUCAGGAUGAGCCCGCGUCGGAUUAGCUAGUUGGUGGGGUAAUGGCCUACCAAGGCGACGAUCCGUAGCUGGUCUAAGAGGAUGAUCAGCCACAUUGGGACUGAGACACGGCCCAAACUCCUACGGGAGGCAGCAGUGGGGAAUAUUGGACAAUGGGCGCAAGCCUGAUCCAGCCAUGCCGCGUGAGUGAUGAAGGCCCUAGGGUUGUAAAGCUCUUUCAGUGGGGACGAUAAUGACGGUACCCACAGAAGAAGCCCCGGCUAACUUCGUGCCAGCAGCCGCGGUAAUACGAAGGGGGCUAGCGUUGUUCGGAAUCACUGGGCGUAAAGGGCGCGUAGGCGGCCGAUUAAGUCGGGGGUGAAAGCCUGUGGCUCAACCACAGAAUUGCCUUCGAUACUGGUUGGCUUGAGACCGGAAGAGGACAGCGGAACUGCGAGU
rnacentral:rRNA from 1 species